UCACACUUGCUCAGUAAAUGUGGAAUUGCACGCAGGUUUAGCGGGAGUUAUAGAAAAAGCGUUUUCCUUAGGGAGUUAUGAAGUUUCUAGUGCCAUAAUUAACAGUUUUUUUUUCUUAAAACUUAAUUUUCGUAUCGCAAGUGUGAUGAAAAACAUUGUGUUUAACUCGGGGCGUAAUAAUAUUGCAAACUCGAGUCUAUAAAUCGCUCCGGCAAGCCGUCGCGAUUUAACUAUACUCUCGUUUGCAAUAUUUAACUUACGCCCAAUGUUGCACAAUGUACUAAUUAUUUUGUUGCGCUCAUUAUUUGACAGUUGCCCUCAACGUUGCGAACGCUAAGCAGCGCUGCCAUCGUUCACGGUCCCAAUAAUUAUGUGUAUCUAAAUGUAGGUAAUUAUAUAAAUUGGUAUUUCAUGUCUGAUAGCAAUCUUAAUUUUACAGAAUGAUUUAGUCGACGUGGUAAUCGAAGAGACAGAGGAGGACAGUCCAUCAAUAUUACAAUUAUUUCCCAAUAACUGGAAUCAACCGGGAACCUCGGCUCAAUCCACAUAUCUUCCAGGUCUUCUUGUGGCUAGUGAAGUGAACCAGACCCUCCACGGACAGGAAGAUGGACUACAUAUGAAUAGU